UACAGAGGGUGCAAGCGUUAAUCGGAAUUACUGGGCGUAAAGCGUGCGUAGACGGUUGCGUAAGUCAGAUGUGAAAGCCCCGGGCUCAGCCUGGGAAUUGCAUUUGAGACUGCGUAGCUAGGGUGCGGAAGAGGGAAGCGGAAUUUCCGGUGUAGCGGUGAAAUGCGUAGAUAUCAGGAAGAACACCAAUGGCGAAGGCAGCUCUCUGGGACGGUACUGACGCUGAGACGCGAAAGCGUGGGGAGCGAACAGG
rnacentral:rRNA from 1 species